rnacentral:rRNA from 1 species
AUUGAACGCUGGCGGAAUGCUUUACACAUGCAAGUCGAGCGGCAGCGCGGCCUUCGGGCUGGCGGCGAGCGGCGAACGGGUGAGUAAUGCAUCGGAACAUGCCCAGUCGUGGGGGAUAACACUUCGAAAGAAGUGCUAAUACCGCAUACGUCCUGAGGGGGAAAGCGGGGGAUCGCAAGACCUCGCGCGAUUGGAGUGGCCGAUGUCAGAUUAGCUAGUUGGUGGGGUAAAGGCCUACCAAGGCGACGAUCUGUAGCUGGUCUGAGAGGAUGAUCAGCCACACUGGGACUGAGACACGGCCCAGACUCCUACGGGAGGCAGCAGUGGGGAAUUUUGGACAAUGGGGGCAACCCUGAUCCAGCCAUUCCGCGUGAGUGAAGAAGGCCUUCGGGUUGUAAAGCUCUUUCAGCAGGAACGAAACGGUGGGCUCUAACAUAGUCCGCUAAUGACGGUACCUGAAGAAGAAGCACCGGCUAACUACGUG